UAGCAGAGCGGGCAGCGUGAUUUUUUCCCUAGGUGAAUCAAGAACAUAGGGCUCUAACGAGCGCUGCCAUUGGUUGAUACAAAUCACGUGCCUCAAACUCCUGUUUUAUGG